CCCCACCCACCUCCACCCCACAAAGAGAAAGAAAAUGCCCCACUUUUCUUAUAUACCUUAAAAUGCUUCCUCAAAUAGGUCAUACCAUUUGUUCUAUCAUAUUUUUGCUUUUUAAUUUCUUGAAUCUAUUUCGGUCCGUAAGUUCAGAAUACAUAAACUUCAAAUCCUGAUUCUGUUUCGUGUUUUUGUAUCUGUAUGUUGGUUUUUGAGAGGUUAAAGCUGCCAGCAUGAUCUGGUCAUCUAGCAGCUUCAAUCACUCACCAACAAUACACACAAAGGAAGAAAAAAAAAGAGCAUCUAAUUUUCACUUAAUUCUCAAUCACAUUCAUUUAUCUCAGGUAAUUAUUUCUCUAAUCUUUUUAUUUUAUGUAAUUUUAUUUUUUACUGUUGAUUAUCUUCUUCCCCUUUUUUUUUUUCUCUUCUCAGAAUGUAACAUUAUAUUUUAUUUUCAUCUAAUACAAUAUAUAACAUAUAA